rnacentral:rRNA from 1 species
GACGAACGCUGGCGGCGUGCUUAACACAUGCAAGUCGAACGGUAAGGCCCUUCGGGGUACACGAGUGGCGAACGGGUGAGUAACACGUGGGUGAUCUGCCCUGCACUUCGGGAUAAGCCUGGGAAACUGGGUCUAAUACCGGAUAGGACCACUGCCUGCAUGGGUGGUGGUGGAAAGCUUUUGCGGGGUGGGAUGGGCCCGCGGCCUAUCAGCUUGUUGGUGGGGUGAUGGCCUAGCAAGGCGACGACGGGUAGCCGGCCUGAGCGGGUGACCAGCCACACUGGGACUGAAAUACGGCCCAGACUCCUACGGGAGGCAGCAGUGGGGAAUAUUGCACACUGGGCGCAAGCCUGAUGCAGCGACGCCGCGUGAGGGAUGACGGACUUCGGGUUGUAAACCUCUUUCAGCACCGACGAAGCGCAAGUGACGGUAGGUGCAGAAGAAGGACCGGCCAACUACGUGCCAGCCGCCGCGGUAA